GCGGAUGUGGCGGAAUUGGCAGACGCGCUAGACUUAGGAUCUAGUGGAGCAAUCCGUAGGGGUUCGAGUCCCCUCUUCCGCA
rnacentral:tRNA from 1 species